UGGGGAAUUUUGGACAAUGGGCGAAAGCCUGAUCCAGCAAUGCCGCGUGUGUGAAGAAGGCCUUCGGGUUGUAAAGCACUUUUGUCCGGAAAGAAAUCCUUGGCUCUAAUACAGUCGGGGGAUGACGGUACCGGAAGAAUAAGCACCGGCUAACUACGUGCCAGCAGCCGCGGUAAUACGUAGGGUGCAAGCGUUAAUCGGAAUUACUGGGCGUAAAGCGUGCGCAGGCGGUUUGCUAAGACCGGUGUGAAAUCCCCGGGCUCAACCUGGGAACUGCAUUGGUGACUGGCAGGCUAGAGUAUGGCAGAGGGGGGUAGAAUUCCACGUGUAGCAGUGAAAUGCGUAGAGAUGUGGAGGAAUACCGAUGGCGAAGGCAGCCCCCUGGGCCAAUACUGACGCUCAUGCACGAAAGCGUGGGGGAGCAAACAGGAUUAGAUACCCUGGUAGUCCACGCCCUAAAACGAUGUCAACUAGUUGUUGGGGAUUCAUUUCCUUAGUAACGUAGCUAACGCGUGAAGUUGACCGCCUGGGGAGUACGGUCGCAAGAUUAAAACUCAAUGAAUUGACGGGGUCAUAGCUGUUUCCU
rnacentral:rRNA from 1 species